CAGUGGAACUUUCUUUCUUCAGAUUACGUUAUAUGGUAUAGUGAGCUUUGAAAAUCGUUGAAAAAAUUCGAAUUUAAUGGUGCAGAGGCAAAGACGAUAUGGACGUUCGGAAAAAUGAAAACUAUACUGGAGGAAGUUAUCUUUAUUUGAUUCUGUCUUCGUAAUUAAGCUUCCUUCAGCUUCGAACUUUUCAUUUCCUAAUUCGAAUACCUAUUUGUUCACCCGUACCUCUUUAGGUUUAUAUUUGUUCUUGCAAACUGUUCUGCGGCGAUAUGAAUUUUGCUACCCCAAAGUUUACGUAAGCCAAGUUUGUCGUAAAUAAAUUCGCAAAAAAAAGUACUUUGGAUGGUGCAACAUGGAAGAAUUGAACGCCGUUGAAACGCUGGUAUUUUUGAACAUGAAGUAUCUCAGUAUUCAACCCAAAGUCAUAAAAAUUCUUGAACCUUUAGCUUUCCAAGCGCUGAAUGAGCAUACUGGGACACAUUUUGAAACCAUAGACGCAAGUAAUAAUUGCGUAAGUUAUAUAAAACUCAUAGAGCCAACAAAGCUAGUAGCAUUUACUUCUUAAUAUUAUAUUGAAAUUCCAAUAAAUAAUCUUUGAAUAUCGUUUGUAUGAAAUACCCGAGAGCAAUUGCGGCGCUAAAUUAAACUGAAU